rnacentral:lncRNA from 1 species
AGUGAAGGUUGGUAUAAAUAGAUUUGUCUGUAUUGGGCACCUGGUUACCAAGGCCGCCUUCUGCUCUGCAUCUGGCAAAGUGGAGAUUGUUGCCAUCAAUGACCCCUUCACUAACCUCAACUACAUGGUCUCCAUGUUCUAGUAUGGCUCUACUCAUGGCAAGUUCAACAGCACAGUCAAGGCUGAGAAUGGGAAGCUUGUCAUCAACGGGAAGCCCAUCACCAUCUUCCAGGAGCAAGAUCCCACUAACAUCAAGUGGGGUGAUGCUGGUGCUGAGUAUGUCAUAGAAUCUUCUGGCAUCUUUACCACCAUGGAGAAGGCUUAAAGGGUGAGGCCAAAAGAGUCAUCAUCUCCUCCCCUUCUGCUGAUGCCCCCAUGUUUGUGAUGGGUGUGAACCAUGAGAAAUAUGACAACUCACUCAAGAUUGUCAGCAAUGCAUCCUGCAACACCCACUGCUUAGCCCCUUGGCCAAGGUCAUCCAUGACAACUUUGGGAUCGUGAAAGGACUCAUGACCACAGUCCAUGACAUCACUGCCACUCAAAAGACUGUGGAUGGUCACUCUGGAGAGCUGUGGCGGGAUGGCCAUGAUACUGCCCAGAACAUCAUCCUUGCUCCACUAGUGCUGCCAGGGCUGUGGGCAAGGUCAUCCCAGAGCUGAAUGAGAAGUUCACUGGCAUGACCUUCCAUGUUCCUACCGCCAAUGUAGUAUCCAUGUCAUGGAUCUGACAUGCCGCCUAGAGAAACCUGCCAAGUAUGAAGACAUCAAGAAGGUGGUGAAGCAGGCAUCUGAGGGCUCACUGAAGGGCAUCCUGGGCUACACUGAGGACCAGGUUGUCUCCUACGACUUCAACAGCAACUCCCACUCUUCCACCUUUGAUGCUGGGGCUGGCAUUGCUCUCAAUGACAACUUUGUAAAGCUCAUAUCCUGGUAUGACAAUGAAUACAGCUACAGCAGCAGGGUGGUGGACUUCAUGGCCUACAUGGCCUCCAAGGAGUAA